GUUUCGCGUGACGCAAUAUGUCACCGUUAAAAUUUAUUUUCGCAUUAAUAUUUGAUGUGUGGCCCCUAAGAAUGCCGAUCGAUCGGAAGGGGAUGGCCGAGGUUCAAACAGGUUAACAGAUUUCUCGACCCGUCAUUUAUGAGGGUUGAUGAAUGGUGGGUGGGUUAACACGUCGUAAAGCUGCAGAGGGCGUUACUACAUUUCCCAUAUAGGCUGACCGGACCCAAGAACUACGGAUCUUCCGCCGUAUAUAAACUUAAUCAGCAAUGCUCGAUUCACGAUUCCAUUCAACUACGAAACUCACAAUCAACCCAAAGA